rnacentral:rRNA from 1 species
UAAUACGGAGGGGGCUAGCGUUGUUCGGAAUUACUGGGCGUAAAGCGCACGUAGGCGGUUUUUCAAGUCAGAGGUGAAAGCCCGGGGCUCAACUCCGGAAUUGCCUUUGAAACUGGAAGACUUGAACACGGGAGAGGUGAGUGGAAUUCCGAGUGUAGAGGUGAAAUUCGUAGAUAUUCGGAGGAACACCAGUGGCGAAGGCGGCUCACUGGACCGUUGUUGACGCUGAGGUGCGAAAGCGUGGGGAGCAAACAGG